UAUUGGAGCGCCUGUACUUGUACCAAACUGGAUUAUUAUUUUGCCUUUGGUGGUGAUGGGCAGAUCAACACUGUGCAUUUAUUAUUGAAUUUUAUUGGAGCGCCUGUACUUGUACCAAACUGGAUUAUUAUUUUGCUUUUGGUGAUGGGCAGAUCAACACUGUGCAUUUAUUAUUGACUGUUAUUGGAGCUCCUGUACUUUUUCAAACUGGAUUAUUAUUUUGUUUUUGGUGAUGGGCAGAUCAACAC